UAGGCUCUCGGCUCCUGGAGCUGCGCUGCCAGCGGCCACAAAACAGUUUGGCUUUCUCCUGCUGCCAGCCCGAGCGGUGCGAGCACGGGCCGCCUGCCUGCGCGGCCCGGGGUUCCAGCGGCGGUCCAGCUGUUGCAUCAUUAGGCUGUAACUGCCCCACUAAACUUGCCCGCUUGGAGCCUCAGCGCAGGACAGAACGGCCUCUCCAACGGCGCGGGCGGGAGAGGCGCCAGCGUCUCCAUGGCAACACAGCCAAGUGGAGUGAGUGGUCGGCUGAAGUUACACAGGCUCCGCGUGUCAACAUCACGGGCGUGUUUUUUUCUUUUUUUCCCAAGAUUAAGCUGCUUACCAGAAGGGUUCAGAGGAGGCCUAUUAUAUUUCAUGAAAAUGGAAACUCCAGGGCAGGUCAGAUCGCAAGCUGGGUGGUUUUAAGCUGGAUCCAAGAAAAACACUUUUGCUUGAAGGACUCUGAGCUGGUGCCCAAACCAGGGCUGUCGUGUUUAUUAACUACUCAAGAGCAAUUUCUGCAGCAAGGAUUUGAAAAAAAUCCAGGAACAAGUCUACUGAGCCCACAGACCAGGCCUGCACCGCUGAGGGGUGCAGGCACAGCCGGUGGCAGGGCACAGCGGUGCCAGGCGGGCCCUGCAAGGCCGUGCAUGCCGCGUGCCUCUCAAGGUCUGGGGCCCGGCCUUCAGGCCUGGCUAGUUCACUCAGUCCCUCUGUCACUAAAGACGGCUCGGGGGUACAGCAUGGCUUCGGUUCCCUCUCAUGUACCGUGGGGUCUGUGCUGGCCUGCUGUGGGCGGCAGACCCACAGCUGCCAGGCAGAGCAGCCUGCAAGGGCAGGCCCAGCCCUGCCGUUCAGACGACUGCGACUCAUUGAGUGGAGAAUGUGGUCGUCACAGGAUGCGGCAAUGACAAUGGGAAAGGGUUAGCAGCUUGCUUUCUGCUGAACGUUGUCAAUGUUAAAUAAAGAAGAGCGGAAAUUAACAAGGUGAGCUUGGAAACCAGGAACAUUUACAGCCAGCGAGGUUCAGAAAAAUUCACCAUCACAUCUGAAUCAAGAAACCUCGGCUGUGGCUGCGUCUAAGGGUGUCUGUUCAUCUGUCUCGCUCCCUCCCCACCCUCACCCCUUCUUUUCUCUCACUUAUCAAGCACCUUCUACGAACAUCUAUACAGUCCUGCUCUCGAGCUUCUGGUGGUGGGGAGUGGGGUGGGGCACAAGGGCAGCGAUGGAUGAUUCUGGCAGGGGAGGGGUUUGGGGCUGCCAGGAUGGCCCUGCAGUGCUGUAAAGAGAGGGCUUAGGCUAGGGGUGAAGGAAGCUGAAGGGGAGGGCGAUCAUGCAAGAAACUUACACUUUCUGGAACACAAGAAAACUUCUCUGAAAUCAUAAAAGGCACACCAUCCAUGGCUGCAAAAGAAGAGGGAAAAAAAACAAGUGAAAAUAAAUGGCACUGCAGAUCCACUGACGUUCAGUAACUUGAGCUAUUGACACGGACAGUACAGGCCGGUCAGGGGCUGCAGCCGGCUGACACAGGCACAGGGCUGGACGGAGGCUCAACUGUCUGCUCGGUGUUCAGAGGACACAGAAGCGGUGGGAACGGGCUCCCAGAAAGGAAAACGGGGAAGUCCUAAGAAAUAAAGAGUCGCAGAAGCAGAAAUAAGAAAAGGAAGUAAGAAAAGAAUCUGGGGACAAAUCCUCUCUGAUCAACAAGAUGAACCAAAUGUCUCAUUUUAAGCUACUUUCAUCGUUUCUGGGGAGGAAAAAAAUGGACCCUUCUCUGGGAAGUAUGAGAAGGAACUAGUGUGGCCAGCCCCACCACAGCGUGGGGCACCCCCUCCUUUCCCGGGAGGGCUGCGCGGACCACGGGCUCGGACAGAGACGUCUGUGGCCAGAGACCUCGCAUCACAGAGGCCCCAGGGACCUGCCCUGUCUGCCUGGAGACCCAGCUAAGCACUGGGGACAGCGUGACAGCUCCCCAGGAAGGAGCGGGGAGCCCACAGUCACCUUACGCAGUACGUCAUAUACACAAAUAUACUAAGGAAAUCUGAGCACCUACACGCAUUCUACAAGCAUGGAGAAGGGAAUGGCAACCCACUCCAAGACUCUUGCCUGGAGAAUCCCAUGGGCGGGGGAGCCUGGUGGGCUACAGUCCAUGGGAUCACAAAGAGUUGGACACGACUGAAGUGACACAGCCAUGCACGCGCAUUCACAGCUGGGAAUAUAACGGCCCUGAAGAGAUGAUCCCUGAAAGGCUGUGAUGCCUUCUAGAAGAGACAGGACAAGGCCCACCCAGAACCCAAGGGAAGGGCCAAGCUCCCUUCCCCGUGGCUGCCACCGUCCACCCACCGUGGCUGAAGUCAAGGCUCACCCCACAUGGCACUCUGACCCUGGCUGCUUCCUGAUGCCACACUGGCAGCAUUUCUGAUCACUCACAGACAGUGGGUCGGGGGCCACACAGGUGGAAGCAGUGACUCUAAUCUCUGGCCCUUCUAUGAGGGAUACUUGCUGUUUCUGACGGCAAACCUGCUUCCACACCAGGGCCUUGCACGGUUUUGACAAUACCACACACUUGCCAAGUGUCCAGCUGGCCCUUCGACCAGCUCUUUCCCAUCAGACCUACUGGCCAGGAGGUGACUAUGUGCGCCAACAGCCCCAAGUCACACCCACCACUGUCUUCUGGAUCCACACUUCUCUCCACAGUCAGUCCCCUCAGCAUGAAGCCACCGCCCACAUCCUGCUUACCCCAUAUCAGACGCUGGAAACCACAGCCUACUUUACCUCUCCUCACACUCUCAAAGCCCCUGUGGUCACCUGUCCUGGCUGCAUUCCUGGGCUGGGAACCUUGUUUGGUCAUUCACUGGGCUUUCUGCCUUUGGUGUUUAAAGACCACCAUAGCGUCUGGGGGUUCUGGAAAGAUAUGAUGAAGAUCGCCCUUCUCGCUGGUGACAUCUGUUUCCAAGCAAAAUAUCAACGUCUGUUCCGUGAACUUAUGUUCUGAAAGACAUGGUACGCUGACCUGCAAGGGCAGGAUUACUACAGGAAACAAGAGGCCUGGGGAGCCCUGGGCAGAAGUGAGAGAGGGUGGUGACCCUUGCCCAGCAUAAGGCUGGAAGGGAAGAGGUGGGGAUGCCAAGGAGGGGUGCUCCCUGCCCCUCCCCUUCACCCCAUGUCCACCCCCGCCCCUCCCAUCCCUCUGGGGUCACCUCAGCGUGCUCUCCUGCAGGACGCUGUCUCCGAAGCCCUGCUUGCCCCCCUGGGUGCCUGGCUAUGGCCGUGUCUCCUCUGCUGGCCGUGGGCCUCUGGCCAUCCACGUCUGAGUCAGCUCUGCCUUCCUGUCCCAGCACAGGGGGUGCCUGGGGAGCUCGGCAUCCCCUGUAACGGGGCUCCAACCUGGGAGAUGUCUGGAGAGAAGGGAGGAUGCAUUCCCAAGACUGAGAAGCAAGAGGCAGCAUGAGGGUGGCCCUCAGCACAGGGGGUGAUGGCCUCCUGAGGGGUUGAGCAGCAGAGGAGCUGCUGUGGAGAACCACGUGGACCUAAUCCGACCUUGAGGGGGAGGGAGAGAAAGAUGAGAAUCUGGGGAUAAGUUUCCACUUCAUCUUAAGAGUUCAGGACGGGAAGAUGGGCAUAGCCAGACACUCCUUGCAUUCUUCUAGAUAACAGACUUGAGCAGUCUUGGAGGAAAAGAAAGUGAAUCCACAGGGUCCUGGGGGCAGAAGCCGCUGAAUGGGCGGGCGCUGCCUCGAGAGGACCAGACUCUUGGGUGACACGCUCGGAAUCCCUGAAAAGGGGAGCCAGGUCCCCAGGAGCCGCUGAGAGUCUGCUGAACAGAUGAUCUGCCGACCAAGUUUCAUUUAUUAAAAAAAAAAAAAAUCUAGUAUAGCCAAGACUAUGGUAGGCUAAAAAGAAGGCAGAUUUGAACAACGCAUUUGACAGAUUUCUCACGUUAUCCAAAUGGACAAGACAGAUAAGUAUGGCUGGGACAAUGUUAAGGGUAGGAGAAUCCAUAACUGGUUGGACUAGAUGUUCAAGAAGCUGAUUAAUAGAUUGACACUGACCUCAAGCAACCUCUCUGGAGGGUGCCCGGGGCGUUAUCAAUUACUUCAGUGAAGGCACGCAGAGUAGGCAUAUCCGAUAUGCGGCUGAUGGGGACAGCCCACAGACUGGAUAAGGGAGAGAAAUCCAAUAGAGAUCUCAAAAAGUCAGGGUCAUGGGCUACAUUUAAUAGAUGGAAUUUGUUAAAGGUCAGUGUUAAGACCUGUACCUUAGGUCCAAAAUGCCAACUGCAUCAGAUGGAAUGAAAGAGAUGUUCAUGCUAGAAUAACAGCAGAAGACACGGAAAAAAAAAGAUUUGUCCAUAGUGGAACAAGUCAACAGCGUGACCGGACUGUUUAGAAGUUGGGAGCUGCCAUUGUAAGCAACAGUGCAGCUCUCCCCAUGCCAGGGAAGGGCAAUCACCACCUGGGUCUGUUCUGGGCUCAAGGGAGGGGUUCCAUGCUGGGACUGCAGUCUCAGAGCGUCGUCCUGGACAGCCUGGUGAGGGACCCGAGGCCAGCCCACAGGAGGGAAGGAGAGGAAGUCAUCAGACCUGCUGCUCUAGGGGGGCACCUGAGAGCCCAGUGUCCCACAUGCAGGAAGAAGUACAGCUAGAUGGGUUCUGGUCCAGACAGAAGAGGGGCUUCCCCGCUGGCUCAGCGGUAAAGAACCCGCCUGGCAAUGCAGGAGACGCAGGUUUGAUUCCUGGGUCGGGAAGAGGCCCUGGGGAAGGAAAUGGCAACCCACUCUAGUAUUCUGGCCUGGGAAAUCCCACGGGCAGAAGAGCCUGGUGGGCUACAGUCUAUGGGGUUGCACAGAGUCAGAUAGGACUGAGUGACUGAACACCCACCAUCACCAGAUAAGAGAAGCCUUGGAGGUGAACAUGGUCAAGUGUCUGCACGUGUUCUGAGAGCUGUCACAAGAAGAGGGGCUGGCGUCGGGGCACGAUUUCCGGGGGAGACCUUGUCCUCCUCUGGAGAAGCUGGCAAGAAGGACACACAGCACCGGCUGAAAAAGUUCCAGACGCACGGCCACUUGUCAGGGGUUAGAAAGGGAUGUUGUGUGUCGGUAGAAAAGCUGAUCUGUGGGACUGCUAAAUCCCCUUCUAAUUCUAGGACAUCCAUUUCUAUUCUCCCUAUCUGGGCAGCUUUUCCAUAUUUUAAGAUAUCUAGAGGCUUGUGAGACAUAAUUCUUAAAAUCAAUGGCGCUCAUUUUUUACAUGUUCCAAAAGAUCUCAUAAAUCAUCGUCUGUGCUCCUCAUGGGGGAGCACGUGUCCUUCCUCACUGCGCUGUGGUGCUCUGGCCUCAUCCCACUCCUCCUCCUAGCCUUCAACCACUGCCGGGUCCCAGUCAGGGUGACACAUGGUGGAGGGGCUGAGGGGCAGCCCCCACAGAGCCACUGCUCAGCGGGUACACGUUUGUUCAUCCGCCCCUGCCCCCCAGCCCUCACAGGCAGCCUGGGCUUGCACACGGUUCUCACACGGACACAGCCUGACCGAUCUGUGGGCACAACCCUGAACCAGGACACAGAGGUCUGUCCUUUGCUCACCGGCAUCAAAGGUGGAGCUUCCGGGGCCCAGGGGGGUCCACUGUCCAGGUCCCUUGGCCCCCUGAAACCCUGGAUGUAGCAGAACUUCUCCCCUGCCCAAAUCCAGGCCAGAGAGAGUGCGAAGGAAAGGAAAUCGCAUUUACUGACCACACACGAGGGAGCCAACAUGCACCAAAUAACGUCACCUCCAUGAUGAUCACGGGCAAGUUAACGUUUAAGGAACCCGAGGCUGAGGAGUUAGGGAGUUUGACGGGGCCAGGAUUUGAGCCCAGGUGCCCAGCUGGCGGUGGCAAUGCCGUGCUUGUGGCAGGGAGGAUGUGCAGCAGACGUGUGGCCGUCUCACCUCUCUGGGCCUUGGCCACCCUGCCUGUAAAGCGGGGACCACACGGCAUCUGUCCCGGGAGGGGCCGCGAGGGUAGAAACGGGCGCACGGCAGACACGGGCUUCUGUGCAGGCCCACAGAAGCCCGUGCCGGGCAGGCCGCCUUUCAGGACGAGGACGAGUGCUUUCUUCGUCUUCUUCCUUCUCCCCCUCCCCCUUUUUCUCUUUUUCAAUUUUAUUUUUGGUGGCAGUUUUAACAAAACGCUGAUCCUCGGCACCGAGCGGCACACAGCAGAUGAAAGCAAGGAUGUGCCGUGGGCUCCGUAGCGCAAUUAGCAUUCUCCUAAACAAACGAGCUUCAACAGAGCUGUAAUUAAGCAGGCCUGUAAUUAAGUAUAUGCCCUUUAUCAUAACGAUCAUGCUUAAAAAUGGCAUGAUGCAUGGAACUCUGUUAUUAAUGCUGUAAUCCCAAACUGAAGUGCGGGUACAUAGAAAUCAGCGUGUCAGGACUGUCACCGGGGUGUUUGUAAAAUACAUUACAGAAAAAAACCAGGGAACAAUGAGCUCAUUCAACUGUUCUUUUUACAAUCAGGCACUACAAGUCAAGAGGAUUGUGAAUGCUUACAGAAUCGGCACGGUUUAAACAAAUAAAGCUCUAAUCUGCUACUAUAUUAAUACCACUCCCUCUUCUAAAGAAGGAAAGUGGGGGGGGGGUUAUUUAUUUAUUUAUUUAUUUUUCCAACUGACCGUGCUACCUGCCUUGGCUUUCCUUGGGGGAAGAAGUCCGAUUUGCAUGUCGUUUCUGUUCGGACAUAAAUUGGAUUCCCGUUUGCACAGACACCUCUGCCAUGAAUCUGCGGGAACUCUGCCUGGCAACAGGAGAGGGCCAUAGCUCCUGCGUGUGGGAACUAUAAUUUUACUUGCCAAGGCAAUCCCUCGGUGCCUUCCCUUCAUUCUCGCUUCCAAACACACACCUUUGGACUUCUGCAGGCUCAACGCAAACCCACUGCUGACCAGCUCCCAAAGGCACCAGGCCCAGGACCAGCAGAUACCUUCCUCAAAGAGGAAAUACUCCAAUCAACACAUGAAUUAAUUCCAGCACACUCGAUCCAAGGAUUCAUAAAGUCAUAUGGUGAAAAUGUGACCCUCAUGCUGGGAAAGACUGAAGGCAGGAGGAGAAGGGGGCGACAGAGGAUGAGAUGGUUGGAUGGCAUCACCAACUCUAUGGACAAGAAUGUGCGCAAACUCUGGGAGAUGGUAAAGGACAGGGAAAUCUGGCAUGCUGCAGUCCAGGGGGUCGCAAAGAGUCAGACAUGACUUAGCGACUGAACAACGAUGGUGAAAAUGUAAAAUUUUUAAAAAGACCCCAUCACCAGCAUCUCAACUGUCGUCUGCUUACUGCUGCCAAGUGGUGUUAAGUGAGGUCAGUUGUGCUUCCUCAGAAGUCCUCGCAGAGAUGAGGGUGAACAACGUGACUUAUUGGCAGGCAGUCAUUUUCACAAUAAAAUUACAUGCAGUUGGAAUGGUGGGAGGCCUUUAAUUCUGGUACCUGCUUGGGGCUCGGAGCUGUAAAUAAUCAGCAACCCGGCCCUUUCUCUCCCCCUUUCCUGGGGCCUUUCAAAAGUCCUUUACAGCCUGUGAUGGGAAAAAUGCCAACAACUCAAGAUCUCAGGACCAUUUCUGAAAACUCAUUUGCAAACCAAAACGGCCAAGCCCGUUCUGCUUUCUCUGUGAUUUCACUUUGGGGAAAUUCCUUGGAAGAUAUUUGUGGACGCCCCAGAGCUAUCUGCUAGGUGACAUUCCAAUUGAGUUUACACAAGGCCAACAACUUCCUUCUGGAUCCCCAUAGUAAUCGGUUUAGCCACGUUACUCACAAGCCAAAAGCGGUGCUUUAUCGGCUACAACCAGAGCCUCCCGAGUCCCACGCACGAGGCGGCUCCAUGGGAAGAAGGAGGCACCUGUCCUCGUGGAAGGGGACAGGCACACCCAGGCCGCAGUACACUGCUGGGAAGAGGCCGGGGGUCUGUGGCAGGCACCCCACUGCCCACCUCUGACUCAGGACAAGUGAGUCAUCUCUCUGAGCCUGCUUCCUUGAUUGCAGAAGGAAGGAAGUCAUACCUGGACGUCUGCAAAGUUUAAAUGAGGUUAAAAGCGUAAAGCCCCAGGUACGAACUAAGUCCUCAGUUAACUGUCAUCACCCCUGUGCUAGAUGGAAAAGCCCCUCCAAGAUAGACCUUUCUGUCUUUCUCUCUGCUUUUACAUAAAAACACAACUGCAUCCACAUUCAAUUAUGUAAUCUGAGGCCAAAGGCUUUUCGGGGUGCAGAGGCAAAGCCUGCCCGGGAGGGCCUCCCUGGGUGCUCUGACCACGGCUCUCCUGGCGUCUGCUGUCCCUACGGUCACAGGUCAAGCUCCCUGCGAGAGCAAGGCCCAUGCUAGCCCGGGUGCUAAACGUCCCCUGGAAAAGAGCUCCCAAAGCUGAGAAGAGAACUGCCCCUGGGUAUCAGGAGGCUAAUUUUACCAGGUUAGUCAGAAAUACUGCACUUUUCAAAUAAAGAUGCCUUCA